AGUGAACGCUGGCGGUAGGCCUAACACAUGCAAGUCGAACGGCAGCACAGUAAGAGCUUGCUCUUACGGGUGGCGAGUGGCGGACGGGUGAGGAAUACAUCGGAAUCUACUUUUUCGUGGGGGAUAACGUAGGGAAACUUACGCUAAUACCGCAUACGACCUACGGGUGAAAGCAGGGGAUCUUCGGACCUUGUGCGAUUGAAUGAGCCGAUGUCGGAUUAGCUAGUUGGCGGGGUAAAGGCCCACCAAGGCGACGAUCCGUAGCUGGUCUGAGAGGAUGAUCAGCCACACUGGAACUGAGACGCAGUCCAGACUCCUGCGGGAGGCAGCAGUGGGGAAUAUUGGGCAAUGGGCGCAAGCCUGAUCCAGCCAUACCGCGUGGGUGAAGAAGGCCUUCGGGUUGUAGAGCCCCUUUGUUGGGAAAGAAAAGCAGCAGGUUAAUACCCCGCUGUUCUGACGGUACCCAAAGAAUAAGCACCGGCUAACUUCGUG
rnacentral:rRNA from 1 species